UAUUUAUAUGAGAGUUUGAUCCUGGCUCAGGAUGAACGCUGGCGGCGUGCCUAAUACAUGCAAGUCGAACGAGUUCUGAUUAUUG
rnacentral:rRNA from 1 species